UGUGUGAGUCCUAUGAAGGGGGAGCAGAUGAGGUUAUCUAUAUACUGUAGAAGUUAUCCACCCUCAAAAGACUGCUUGGUUAGAUUUUUACUAAGGCUUUUCCCAAUACAUGUGGGCUCUCUCUAAACCUCUGAGGUAGGACUUUCCAGUUGAAGUUAUUGGUUAAAGAUUUAGGUAGCUUUCUGAAGAGAAAUGGGGCUAUUAGACAGAUGAAUUCACAGGUUGGGCACCCAUCUUUGAAAGUAAGUUUUUGCCCCAAAAGGGUGUGAAUCUUUUCUUUUUAGGGAAGGGGUGCCAUACGCCCCCAUUACCUGACAGGAUUUGGAGGAGAGUUGAUCAGAGCAGGACAUUAGCACAGAGUAGGCAGCUUUUGAACCCAAAAGGGAAAUUUAUAAUUUUUACUUGCCACAUCUAGAGUUUCCCUUGGCUUUGUACUGUUGAUGGCAACAAUGUCUGAUUUGGAAGCCAGCCAGAGCAGAGAGCCCCUUCAGCUCAAGAGUGUCAGGAGUUGAGAUUUUGUCUUGGGGGUGGGGGCGUGCUUCAACCCUCAGGAAUGUCCUGUUCCAGUGGCUGAGCUUGUGGCAGAGGGGUCAAGCUGUGCAGGGAUUUUUCCCUGAUUAUCCCAUUGGGGAAGUUUGACUUCCAGUAGCCUGGCUUCCCACACCACUUGCAAUUAACUGAAGGAGUAGGCUUUUGUAGUUUUUGUCCAGUUUAUUUUUAGGCCAAACAGUAUUACAAAGGAAAACUAGUUUUUUGUUUUAAGGUUUGAAGGAUCAAACUUUUCCCAGUUUUUUGAGGAUGCAUCCAUGGGGCAUGUCCUGGGGUAUGGAAACAUGAUUACCCAUCUGUGAAGAGAGAUCAGAGGAGGAAAAAGAAAAAGAAAGCGUCCCCUCUUACUUUCCUAUAUCCUGAAUAGGACAUCCCCCAUUCGUCCUUAGGGUUCCAUAAUGAACUGGUCUUACCAUGUACUCUUAACCUUUGUAGUGUCUUGUCACAAUUACCCAUUUGAGAACAUUGGAGACACCAAUAUGAACAGGGCCCCCCAGUUCAUCCUUGGGGUUACGGAAUGAACCUGUCUUACUGUGUACCUAUCAUUGUGCCUUCAACCCUGUUCUAAUGGUAAUCUGUUAGCCUGGAACCAACCUUCAUCUCUGUCUUAUGGGUCUCUUUUGUCUGCAGUCUUGGGCCAGCCUAUAUCUUUGUCUUCAUAACCUUAGAGUGACUCUCACUUGCAGCAUUUUAGCAACAAAAUGAUGAUCUCUUUUCUCAGAUUCCCAUUUUCCGUGUUCUUUAAGUAGAUGAGAAGCCUGCUUUUCCAGCUAACUGCCACAAGGGGCUGGACUUCCCUCCCUUCAAAUAUGACCCUGAAGAUCUUGGUGCAUAUUGGGAAGGGCAUGGAAGUAAUUCGUGAAAUGGAGGCUACAGGAGGAAGUGGGAAGAAGCUAGAGGAAUACUCAUGGAAAGCCUUCAUAUGCUUGCAAAAACAGCAGCCCUUGGAUUUGAGGGGGCAACAUUUAUUGGCCCUCUUGACCUAAAGGAGGAACCUCUGGAGCACUUGGGGCUUGGGGUGAGAACUCACAAAUGGCAAAAGAAGAAUUUUCUCUCCUCCCAAAGGGUUGCUAACUCCAAAAAAGCAAGUGGGUAAGGUCUUUAAAGGGCCUCAGAGUGAAGCCCUAUGCAGGCAGGCAAACUGCUUCAAAAGACACUGGAAAACUUGGCCCUGGGGCAUUAACAGGAACAAAAGGUGUAUGGUAAGUCAUAAGGAGCUCGCAGAGCCAGGGUUCCGAUUAGUGUUUGUCUCAGCAAUGUGCCAACAGACAGGAAGAGUUGGAGGUCAUCUGAGCUGGUAGGGUAAAAACAAGUAUAAAUCUCAGGGAAUAUCCAUCCACAAGGGAGCCCCUGUCUGCUGCCAAGCACACAGCAAGAGCUGCGGACACAUGAAUAACAGGGAGUGUGUGUUUAAGAAGUCAGGUGGCAUGCAAAGUGAAAACGAAGAGGCAGAUGUGCCCCUGAGGCAGGCAGUCUGGCGGGUGUGCAAGGCCAUUUCAGAUUACCCACAGGGAAAACAGGAGAAAAGGUGGUGUGAGUUUUUGGGAAAGAGCCGAUUUUAGUUGAAAAAGCAGAGGAAAUCCUAGACAGCACACGGUCUUAGGCUUUAGCCCUACCAUUCUCACAAGCCGCCUGUCAGUGAUAUGUCUGGGAUUUCCUCUGCUUUUUCAAAUAAAAUGUCUCAGGUCUGCCUGAUGUAGACCCCAAGGUCUUUCCCAUCCCCACAAGCUAUCUGUCAGGGUGAACUGAGAGAUCAGCCCAGUGGAGGGGGAGCAGAGCCACUGUGGCCAAGAGGAAUAGUUCUGGGGGUUGGUUAGUAAGCAGGAGAGUGAAAGGAAGAGGAAAACUUCCUACAGGGGUUGAAUGCCUCCAGCCUAAGAAGGAAGGCAUAGAGGUAUCUUACCACUGGGAAACAUAUCUGAGUCACAUGUCACCAAAGUAUGUAUCUGCUCCCCAGGGAGCCUAUAACUUCCUAAAUAAAAUAAGAUUUUUU
rnacentral:lncRNA from 10 species